rnacentral:rRNA from 1 species
UAGGAUAUAAAUAUUAAAUUUUGUUAUAAUAAUAUAUUUAAUUUGUAUUUUGUGUGAAGAUUAUGGUGUUUUUAUAGGGUAUGAGUACUUUUUAGGAAUUAUUUUAUUUUUGUUAAAUUUAGGUUUUUAAUACCUUUUGUAUUAGGGGUUUUUAAUGUGAAUAAAUAUUAAUUUUUUCUCGAUGAAUAUUGGGCUAUUUAAUUUUAUUUUUUCUCGUUGUAAAGAGAUAGUUAAAGAUUAAAUAGUUAUGAAAUAUUAUUCAAGAUGUUUUAUAUCUAGUUUUUCUAGAAUAAUAAUGGUGUGUAUAAUUAUUUUGGAUAUAAAUAGGGAUUAGCUUAUUUAUUUUUUAUAUACUUAUUUUAUAGUUUUUUGUUUGUGGAGUUAAAAGUUCUUAUUAUUAUGGUAUUAUUACAGAAUAAAGUUUUUUUAUAUUUUUUUAAUUUUAUAUUGACAUGGAGAAGAUUAUUUUAAUUUUAAAUAUUAAUGGUAUAAUGAUGAUAUUAGUAAUAUUCAAUAUUUAUAGUUUAAGUUUUGGAUAAAAAUGUUAAUUAUAAAGAUUAGCUAUUAAUAAUAAAGAAUUAGGCAAAGAUUGACCUUUGACUGUUUAGCAAAAACAUUGUUUUUUGUGAAAAAUAAAAAAUAAUUUCUGCCCACUGUUUUUAAUAAAGGGCUGCAGUAUUUUGACUGUAUUAAGGUAGCAUAAUCAUUAGCUUUUUAAUUAGAAGCUGGUAUGAAGGGGAAACAGAGGUUUGCUGUUUUAUUAUUAAAUAAUGAAUUUUAUUUUUAUGUGAAAAAUCAUAAGUUUAUUAAAGGGACAAGAAGACCCUAGUAAGUUUAAUUUUUUAUUUUUAAUGCAUAUAUAGGGAUAAAAAUUUAUAUAAUUUAUUAUAUUUAAUUUAACUGGGGCGGUGUGUUAUUAAACAUAGCUUAUUUUUAAUUUAUCUGAUAGCGAUUAGAGGGACCUAAUGGGGUUAGUUAAGUGUAAAACUACUGCAGGGAUAACAGCGUAAUUUUUUUUGAGAGUUCUUAUUAACAAGAAAGUUUGCGACCUCGAUG